UAUUUAUUGGCAUACAAGUAUAGAUCUCGAUCUCUUAGGUUCAGUAAAUUUUACUUAGUGAUUCUAAUGAGAAACUGGGUAAUGAAGAUUCUGGCUAAUGCUGUGCUAGCUCUAGCGUGCGUGUACUUCUAAAGUUGAUCAAGAUUAGUUUAUGGCUGGCCCUCUGUUGCAAUGGACACAGAGUGAGAAAUGGGCAGAGUUUCUGCAUUUGAAAGUUGCAAAAGACUUGGUUGUGAUUUCUCCCUUUCUUACUCCACUUUGAAGGGCUGCUAUCAUGAUGCUGACAGAUGACUCUCAUCUGAAUAACUCAUUGGGACUGGUUGAAUGGACCAACAUAUGCAUUUGAUUUUUGGUCUUGUUUAUCUUUUAUUCAAUGACGAUGGCUCUUCAGCAGGGCUUAUGUUGUGUCGUGGAAAUGUCCUCAACAAAGGAGAUUUUGAAAAUUUGUUCUGUUGAUUGCAGGUGGAUGAGUCUGUGACCAAGCUGGACUGCCGUGUGCCUCC
rnacentral:lncRNA from 1 species